UACGUAGGUGGCAAGCGUUGUCCGGAAUUAUUGGGCGUAAAGCGCGCGCAGGCGGCUUCUUAAGUCUGAUGUGAAAUCUCGGGGCUCAACCCCGAGCGGCCAUUGGAAACUGGGGAGCUUGAGUGCAGAAGAGGAGAGUGGAAUUCCACGUGUAGCGGUGAAAUGCGUAGAUAUGUGGAGGAACACCAGUGGCGAAGGCGACUCUCUGGUCUGUAACUGACGCUGAGGCGCGAAAGCGUGGGGAGCAAACAGG
rnacentral:rRNA from 1 species